UGGCUCUCGCAUCGAUGAAGAACGCAGCGAAAUGCGAUAAGUAAUGUGAAUUGCAGAAUUCAGUGAAUCAUCGAAUCUUUGAACGCACCUUGCGCUCCUUGGUAUUCCGAGGAGCAUGCCUGUUUGAGUGUCAUUAAUAUAUCAACCUUCUCUUUUUGAGUGGUUUGGAUGUGGGGGUUUGCUGGCCUCUUAAAAGGUCUUGGCUCUCCUGAAAUACAUUAGCAGAACAACCCUGUUCAUUGGUGUGAUAACUAUCUACGCUAUUGAAUGUGAAGGGCAGUUUGGCUUUCUAACAGUCCUUGGACAAGCUCAUCAUUAAUGUGACCUCAAAUCAGGUAGGACUACCCGCUGA
rnacentral:misc_RNA from 1 species